rnacentral:lncRNA from 1 species
CUGCCUGAGUAUUACUCCAGCCCACUGGGUUUGUUCCUUUCACUCGGACCGGCAGGCUGCGCUCAGCUCACAUUACCAGCCUGGAUCCCAUACCUGCCAAGGGCGAGCCAGAUGCAGAGCGACAGAGGUGUGUGGGAAGAAUGAAGUAUGCAGACAAUUGGAGGGUGAGCAAGGCGAAGAGGAGCUUCCUUGAGCGACAGAACAGCUCUCAGGAAACCGGAAGUAAGUAGUUCCUUUCCACAGGCACGUCUUCCGAUGUCCGUGCAGCCCUCCGCAGAGAGCAGACCCAGAGUGUGUAACUCCUACCCACAGGCAGGUUGUCCGCACAUCUGUUGGAGUCUGGCUGAGUCAGGGUUUUUAAGGGUUCAGAGGGGAGGAAGUAUGUGCUGAUUGGUCUAUGGGCAGCCAUGGGUGGGCCUGGAAAAAACACCUUAAGUUCUCACUCUGGUCUGUGGAUUCCACCCUGAACUGACAGCCCAGCCCCCAUGCUUUGGGCAGUUCCUCGCUUGAAGGUAGGGCUUCACUGAGGACCCACCCCUUUCUGCCCAGAAGCCUGUCUGCCGCUUGCCACCAUCAAUCAUAUUCAUGGCGCCCAGGCUGUUUGUGCUGAGGAGCGCCUGAAGGCCUGCAGCGAGCUGGCUCAGUGCCCCCAUGCUCGUUGGCACCCAAAGUCCAGAGGGGGCCACGGUGGCAGGGGGCUGACAUGUCAGUGCCACCCCAAGCGCUCACACACCCAGCUGGGUUGCAACAGCACUUGGGCUUGGCCUCAACUUUGCUCUGCACCUGGAACAGGCACCGGGAGCAGGGAGAGGCCAGGCAGUGGGAGCAGGCACUUUGAAGCCUGCAGCGGCAGGGGAGCUUUCUGUGGCUCCCAAGAGCGCAGGAAAUGCCUGGGUCUGGAGCUACAGCUGUGCAUAGUAGGGAGGGGCUUCCAGCCUACCAACUCGGAAUGGGUUGGGGCUCCUUCCUGUUCCUGGCUCCUGCCCACUCUACGGAGCACGCAGCUCUGGCCUUGCCUUCCCUGCUGCAGCCAGCGUCUUCAGAGCAGCUUCUCAAGAUGGGCAGCCACUGCCAUCAGAAGUCCAAAACAAGAAUUCCUGACUGGCAACGUAGAAAUUGGUUUCUUCAGGAAGCCUUCCCUGCUUCUCUAGUUUGAGAGCUUACAAAAAGCUUGAUUGAAAAGAGAAGAGAAUGGAACACGGUAUGAUGACAACAAAGAGAAAAGGAGCCAAGAUUAGUCUGGACAGUAUGCAGACAUUGACUCUGCUUUGAGGACAGAGCUGGAAUUAAUUUCACGUGCACCACAUAAGGUACUUAGAGUCGGAAAGAAGGAAAAAUAAAAUAUAUUUUAUGAAUUGAAAUUUUAAAAUUUCAAAUAAGUUCACAUUCAAAUUAAGCGACCAGAGGAAAUGAUAUUCGUAGGAUUACAGGCCCUAAAAUGUAUACCCAGAAGAAAAUUGGAUCAGAAUGGAGGCAGUUUGAGUUUAAAAAUGUAGGAAGAUUCCACAAUGAUUAGAAUGAGUACUGUGAGUAUUUGAUUUUGUUCUAAUUAAGAAGAUACUGAUAAGG